UAGCUCACUCGGUCAGAGCGUGGUGCUGAUAACACCAAGGUCGCAGGUUCAGUCCCUGU
rnacentral:tRNA from 1 species